GUCCACGCCCUAAACGAUGUCAACUAGUUGUUGGUAGAGUAAAAUCUAUGAGUAACGCAGCUAACGCGUGAAGUUGACCGCCUGGGGAGUACGAUCGCAAGAUUAAAACUCAAAUGAAUUGACGGGGGCCCCGCACAAGCGGUGGAUUAUGUGGAUUAAUUCGAUGCAACGCGAAAAACCUUACCUGGCCUUGACAUGUACGGAACUUUCCAGAGAUGGAUUGGUGCUCGAAAGAGAGCCGUAACACAGGUGCUGCAUGGCUGUCGU
rnacentral:rRNA from 1 species